AACAGCUCGACCUCUGCUGCUGCAGUCCUGUGUUCUACUAUUUCUCUGAUCAUCUUGUUUUUCUCCUGUGUCUCAUAGGAAGUGAUUCUGCCGGAGUUUCUGUGGUUUUUAAGUCUCCUGUCGUGUUCAGAUGAACAUGGAAAUUCAAGCCUCAAAACCUUGGCCGUGAGUCUCCUUUCUGCCUCCUUCCCGGACCCAGGUUUCUGAAAAUAACUUUCUAUCAAGCUUCUGAGAACCUUCCACCUGCCUGUCCACCCUCCCACGGAUCAUCGUCCCUCCAUGGGAUCCACUGAAUGGAGUUAAGCACAAAGUCAAAAGAACAAGGAAGUACUUUUCCCCGCUGCUGCGCCCUCCUGUCAACCUCAGCCAUUGUGUGAGAUGCCUAUCCUGUCCACUGACCCAGUCCGGAUUCCAGAACGAACCAACGUCUGUGAAUACACUUUAAACGUUGCCUUGGUUUCCUCGUGAUUGUGUUAAUCAGAGUCUUAAAACAACCCAUUAUGACACACUCUGUAUUUUUCUCCAAAAAUCUAUACAUUUCUGUUUAACAAUGCCUGAUUAGUAAGUUAAAUUUUAAAACUUGGGGCCUUUAUUUAAAAAAAAAAAAAAGUUGGGCAAAAAAGACUGCCUAUGAUUAAAGAGUUCAAUAAUUUUAUGAAACAAAACAUUAAAUAUGCAAAUUUUAUGUUCCUAGAUUAAACAAAGUUGGUUUUUAACCAUUUUACCUUUUUCUCUGACUAGGUCAUAUUAGUAGUGUUGUGUGCUGUCUGGGUUCAAGCACAUAUCCAAUAACCUCUGUGAUCUAAUCUUUAGUUUUUUAAUAACUCCCUCUCAUCCAGUGUGUGUGUGUGGAGCACAUCUCUGCUCCAUCUUAAUGUAACGAAACUCGUAAGCCUCUUUAAAAAUGAACUCCAGUUUUUCACCUUGGAACCUCUUUUGAUAUAUAAAAUGUUUUUUCAGUCCACAUAAUGGACUGAUGACUUGGAGAAAGUCGGCAGUUCUUAAUACUUGAUUCUUAAG